GAUGAACGCUGGCGGCGUGCCUAAUACAUGCAAGUCGAGCGAACGGACGAGAAGCUUGCUUCUCUGAUGUUAGCGGCGGACGGGUGAGUAACACGUGGAUAACCUACCUAUAAGACUGGGAUAACUUCGGGAAACCGGAGCUAAUACCGGAUAAUAUUUUGAACCGCAUGGUUCAAAAGUGAAAGACGGUCUUGCUGCCACUUAUAGAUGGAUCCGCGCUGCAUUAGCUAGUUGGUAAGGUAACGGCUUACCAAGGCAACGAUGCAUAGCCGACCUGAGAGGGUGAUCGGCCACACUGGAACUGAGACACGGUCCAGACUCCUACGGGAGGCAGCAGUAGGGAAUCUUCCGCAAUGGGCGAAAGCCUGACGGAGCAACGCCGCGUGAGUGAUGAAGGUCUUCGGAUCGUAAAACUCUGUUAUUAGGGAAGAACAUAUGUGUAAGUAACUGGGCACAUCUUGACGGUACCUAAUCAGAAAGCCACGGCUAACUACGUG
rnacentral:rRNA from 1 species